rnacentral:rRNA from 1 species
CACGACAAAGAGGGAGGUAAUCCUAGACCUCCACGAUAUAUGCGUGAAUUCCAAGAUGCUAUCGAUGACUACGAACUUCAUGAUCUAGGAUUUAUCGGUGACCGUUUUACCUGGUUCAGAGGGAGAAUAAAAGAAAGGCUUGAUCGUGGUCUCAUAAAUGAUGCAUGGGCUAACCUGUUUCCUCAUGCAGCCGUAGAGAACUUGGAAUUCAAUCAUUCAGACCAUCGACCCUUGCUGGUAGACUCGGACUACCACAGUCGUGCUGCUAGGUCAGGUAAUAACACCCAACCGAAGAGGUUUGAGGCAAGUUGGUUACGGGAGGAUAGUUUUAAUGAUAAAGUGGAAAAAGCAUGGAAUGAUAUUACUGCAGAUCCCGAGGCAAACAAUAUCUAUGAAAAAUUAAACAAAAUGCAUGAUCAAUUCCAUGACUAG